rnacentral:rRNA from 1 species
UGACGGAGCAACGCCGCGUGAGCGAUAAAGGCCUUCGGGUCGUAAAGCUCUGUUGUUAGGGAAGAACAAGUACCGGAGUAACUGCCGGUACCUUGACGGUACCUAGCCAGAAAGCCACGGCUAACUACGUGCCAGCAGCCGCGGUAAUAUGUAAGUGGCAAGCGUUGUCCGGAAUUAUUGGGCGUAAAGCGCGCGCAGGCGGUCCUUUAAGUCUGAUGUGAAAGCCCACGGCUCAACCGUGGAGGGUCAUUGGAAACUGGGGGACUUGAGUACAGAAGAGGAAAGCGGAAUUCCACGUGUAGCGGUGAAAUGCGUAGAGAUGUGGAGGAACACCAGUGGCGAAGGCGGCUUUCUGGUCUGUAACUGACGCUGAGGCGCGAAAGCGUGGGGAGCAAACAGGAUUAGAUACCCUGGUAGUCCACGCUGUAAACGAUGAGUGCUAAGUGUUAGAGGGUUUCCGCCCUUUAGUGCUGCAG